GGCCUCAUAGAGAAGAUUAG
rnacentral:snRNA from 1 species